GGAAAAGCGCCGAAUAUUCUCACCGACAGACCUUUAAUGGCUCUCGUACCGCGGUCAGACACAAACCAAAACAAAGACACAAACUACUAGCGUAUGUAAAUGGGAUAUAAUGAUGUCUGAAGUCCUACACCACGUGAGCAAUUUAUGGUGCAGUUGAGUUUGUUGUUUGCAUCUGACCCUCUGUCCAUAACUGAAAGCAAGGAUAUGUUCUGUAAAAGCGGCACAGCGUCCCCUCACAUGCCCCCUGUCCUGAUCUAACACUUUUACAAAAGCUGAAAGGUAGCAGUAAAGCUUAUGUGGGUGCUGGAUCUAUGUGAUAUGCCAGACAGGGGAGCGGACCAGGAGACAGCGGUACAAGACACCCUGAGCAAAAAGAACCACCUACAAGGAAUUUUUAUCAGUGACUACCAAUGCAUCAAGUGAAAUCGAGCAUCACAACAUUAUGUCUAUAGAAAAAAAUGAUUAAGAGCAUAAAAGUACAGAGUCUGAAGCGUUUACAAGUAUCCAUUUACGUAGGUUGAAAACUCCAGAGUAGUAUGCCAGGCAUAACCGUAGCAAAAGUAAUGCAUUUUAAAGGGACAAUAAGUAGGAUUUUAAAUAUAGAUUCAAAUUCAAUGUCUUUAUUCAUAAAUAUGUCCUCGGUGUCAAAUGACCUCUGCCAACGAUCUGCCUUUUCUUUGUAAGCUUAG